rnacentral:rRNA from 1 species
AUGGCGAGCUACCAUUUCCACGUACAGCAACUCAGUGGAUACUUUGAAGGAUGCGAGUUUCUCCAUGUGCCAAGGAACGACAAUGAGCAGGCAGAUGCCUUGGCACGAAUCGGUUCCACCCGUCAAGCAAUACCAACCGGCGUUGCCCUACAACGCCUCCUCAAGCCAUCUGUCAAGCCAUCGCCAGAGUCGGAUUCCAUCUUUGUGCCGGCUCCUCCUGAAGCAGUCGGAUCCGACUUGAGGACCCCAGUAGCCGGCACGAGGAGUUUGUCACGCGACCCGGGGACUGCAACAGCCGCACCCGGCCCCGGGACUUCAGAACCCAGCUCGGGGACUGCAGCAGUCGGCCCGGGGACUUCACUGACUCAGCAAGCGGCAGCUGACUCCAACCCGCCGCCUCCCGGCCCAACCGCCCUCGUGCAAGUAGCAGUCCUAGCAAUCGAAGAAAUUGUAGCGCCUUCAUGGGCCAAGCCCAUCCUCAACUUCCUGGUGAACAAAGAGCUGCCAACUGAUGAGAUCUCGGCCCGGCAAGUGUAA